rnacentral:rRNA from 1 species
AACGAACGCUGGCGGCAGGCCUAACACAUGCAAGUCGAACGGGAUCUUCGGAUCUAGUGGCGGACGGGUGAGUAACGCGUGGGAACGUGCCCUUUGGUUCGGAAUAGCCCCGGGAAACUGGGAGUAAUACCGGAUAAGCCCUACGGGGGAAAGAUUUAUCGCCAAAGGAUCGGCCCGCGUUGGAUUAGGUAGUUGGUGAGGUAACGGCUCACCAAGCCGACGAUCCAUAGCUGGUUUGAGAGGAUGAUCAGCCACACUGGGACUGAGACACGGCCCAGACUCCUACGGGAGGCAGCAGUGGGGAAUCUUAGACAAUGGGGGAAACCCUGAUCUAGCCAUGCCGCGUGAUCGAUGAAGGCCUUAGGGUUGUAAAGAUCUUUCAGUGGGGAAGAUAAUGACUGUACCCACAGAAGAAGCCCCGGCUAACUCCGUGCCAGCCGCCGCCGUAA